AUUGAACGCUGGCGGCAUGCCUUACACAUGCAAGUCGAACGGCAGCACGGGAGCAAUCCUGGUGGCGAGUGGCGAACGGGUGAGUAAUAUAUCGGAACGUGCCCAGUCGUGGGGGAUAACGCAGCGAAAGCUGUGCUAAUACCGCAUACGAUCUACGGAUGAAAGCGGGGGAUCGCAAGACCUCGCGCGAUUGGAGCGGCCGAUAUCAGAUUAGCUAGUUGGUGAGGUAAAGGCUCACCAAGGCGACGAUCUGUAGCUGGUCUGAGAGGACGACCAGACACACUGGAACUGAGACACGGUCCAGACUCCUACGGGAGGCAGCAGUGGGGAAUUUUGGACAAUGGGCGCAAGCCUGAUCCAGCAAUGCCGCGUGCAGGAUGAAGGCCUUCGGGUUGUAAACUGCUUUUGUACGGAGCGAAACGGUCUUUCCUAAUACGAGAGGCUAAUGACGGUACCGUAAGAAUAAGCACCGGCUAACUACGUGCCGGCCGCCGCGGUAA
rnacentral:rRNA from 1 species